rnacentral:rRNA from 1 species
AUUGAGCGCUGGCGGCAGGCUUAACACAUGCAAGUCGAGCGGAGCGAGGGUGCUUGCACCUUAGCUUAGCGGCGGACGGGUGAGUAAUGCUUAGGAAUCUGCCUAUUAGUGGGGGACAACAUUCCGAAAGGAAUGCUAAUACCGCAAGCGCCCUACGGGGGAAAGCAGGGGAUCUUCGGACCUUGCGCUAAUAGAUGAGCCUGAGUCGGAUUAGCUAGUUGGUGGGGUAAAGGCCUACCAAGGCGACGAUCUGUAGCGGGUCUGAGAGGAUGAUCCGCCACACUGGGACUGAGACACGGCCCAGACUCCUACGGGAGGCAGCAGUGGGGAAUAUUGGACAAUGGGCGGAAGCCUGAUCCAGCCAUGCCGCGUGUGUGAAGAAGGCCUUUUGGUUGUAAAGCACUUUAAGCGAGGAGGAGGCUACUUAGAUUAAUACUCUGGGAUAGUGGACGUUACUCGCAGAAUAAGCACCGGCUAACUCUGUGCCAGCAGCCGCAGUAACAC